GAUGAACGCUAGCGGCAGGCUUAAUACAUGCAAGUCGAGGGGUAACAUGGUAGCAAUACUGAUGACGACCGGCAAACGGGUGCGGAACACGUACAGAACCUUCCUUUAAGCGGGGGAUAGCCCAUAGAAAUGUGGAUUAAUACCCACUAGCAAUAUUUAAUGGCAUCAUUAGAUGUUUAAAGAUUUAUCACUUAAAGAUGGCUGUGCGGCUGAUUAGGUAGUUGGNGCGGGUAACGGCCCACCAAGCCAUCGAUCAGUAACUGGUGUGAGAGCACGACCAGUCACACGGGCACUGAGACACGGGCCCGACUCCUACGGGAGGCAGCAGUAAGGAAUAUUGGUCAAUGGACGCAAGUCUGAACCAGCCAUGCCGCGUGAAGGAUGAAGGUCCUCUGGAUUG
rnacentral:rRNA from 1 species